CAAAAGGAUUUUUUUAAAUCCAGAUCAUUAUUUGAAACAAAAACAG
rfam:Hordeum vulgare subsp. vulgare, WGS project CAJW01000000 data, contig: morex_contig_45279